rnacentral:rRNA from 1 species
GAUGAACGCUGGCGGCGUGCCUAAUACAUGCAAGUCGAGCGAACAGACGAGGAGCUUGCUCCUCUGAUGUUAGCGGCGGACGGGUGAGUAACACGUGGAUAACCUACCUAUAAGACUGGGAUAACUUCGGGAAACCGGAGCUAAUACCGGAUAACAUGUUGAACCGCAUGGUUCAACAGUGAAAGACGGUCUUGCUGUCACUUAUAGAUGGAUCCGCGCCGCAUUAGCUAGUUGGUAAGGUAACGGCUUACCAAGGCAACGAUGCGUAGCCGACCUGAGAGGGUAAUCGGCCACACUGGAACUGAGACACGGUCCAGACUCCUACGGGAGGCAGCAGUAGGGAAUCUUCCGCAAUGGGCGAAAGCCUGACGGAGCAACGCCGCGUGAGUGAAGAAGGUCUUCGGAUCGUAAAACUCUGUUAUUAGGGAAGAACAAAUGUGUAAGUAACUAUGCACGUCUUGACGGUACCUAAUCAGAAAGCCACGGCUAACUACGUG